rnacentral:rRNA from 1 species
AGGAUUCUGAUUUGCUUAUUGCACCACAUGUGUUUUUUAUUGAACAAAUUUCUUUGGUGGCGGGAGCAAUCCUACCGCCAGAGGUUAUAACUAAACCAAACUUUUUAUUUACAGUCAAACUUGAUUUAUUAUUACAAUAGUCAAAACUUUCAACAACGGAUCUCUUGGUUCUCGCAUCGAUGAAGAACGCAGCGAAAUGCGAUACGUAAUAUGAAUUGCAGAUAUUCGUGAAUCAUCGAAUCUUUGAACGCACAUUGCGCCCUUUGGUAUUCCAAAGGGCAUGCCUGUUUGAGCGUCAUUUCUCCCUCAAACCCCCGGGUUUGGUGUUGAGCAAUACGCUAGGUUUGUUUGAAAGAAUUUAACGUGAAAACUUAUUUUAACCGACUUAGGUUUAUCCAAAAACGCUUAUUUUGCUAGGGGCCACCACAAUUUAUUUCAUAACUUUGACCUCAAAUCAGGUAGGACUACCCGCUGAACUUAACCAUAUCAAAACGGGGAAGAAA